CGGAGGGAGCUAGCGUUGUUCGGAAUUACUGGGCGUAAAGCGCACGUAGGCGGACCGGAAAGUCAGAGGUGAAAUCCCAGGGCUCAACCUUGGAACUGCCUUUGAAACUAUCGGUCUGGAGUUCGAGAGAGGUGAGUGGAAUUCCGAGUGUAGAGGUGAAAUUCGUAGAUAUUCGGAGGAACACCAGUGGCGAAGGCGGCUCACUGGCUCGAUACUGACGCUGAGGUGCGAAAGCGUGGGGGAGCAAACAGGAUU
rnacentral:rRNA from 1 species